CCAUCAACUAUCAAGCACAAGUAUUUCCUUUCGGAAAAAAAAGCACAAAUCUUUACUUCUUCUCUUCUACGUUCGUUCACUGGUCAUAGCCCUGGACUUGAAUUGUUUAGGGCAUACCAAUAUGGCCAUGAACGUCUCCACCAUUGCCACCACCACCACAUUCGCCUCCGCAUCCUCCAUCAACACCGUCAAAAUCCUGCUCAUCACUCUCUUCAUUUCCAUUGUCAGUACUGUUAUAAAACUUCAAAAGAGGGCUGCCCACAAGAAACCAGGAAAGAAACUCCCACUCCCUCCCGGUCCUACUCCAUGGCCACUCAUCGGAAACAUUCCCGAAAUGAUCCGGUACAGACCGACUUUUCGGUGGAUUCACCAACUCAUGAAGGACAUGAACACCGAUAUUUGUCUCAUUCGUUUUGGAAGAACUAACGUUGUUCCUGUUAGCUGUCCUGUCCUUGCUCGCGAAAUACUGAAAAAGAAUGAUGCUGUCUUCUCUAACAGGCCAACGACUCUAUCUGCUAAAUCAAUGAGCGGAGGAUACUUGACGACGAUUGUGGUGCCCUAUAAUGACCAAUGGAAGAAAAUGAGGAAGAUCCUAACCUCAGAGAUCAUUUCUCCUGCUAGGCACAAGUGGCUCCACGAUAAGAGAGCUGAGGAGGCAGAUAAUCUUGUGUUCUAUAUCCAUAACCAGUACAAGAGCAACAAGAAUGUGAAUUUGAGAAUUGCCACCAGGCAUUACUGUGGGAAUGUGAUCAGAAAGAUGGUGUUUAGCAAGAGAUACUUCGGGAAGGGAAUGCCUGAUGGAGGACCAGGGCGUGAAGAAAUCGAACACAUUGAUGCAAUUUUCAUUGCUCUUAAAUACUUGUAUGGAUUUUGCAUAUCUGAUUACAUGCCUUUCUUGCUGGGGCUUGACCUCGAUGGCCAGGAAAAGUUCGUACUCGAUGCAAAUAAGAUCAUAAGGAAUUAUCAGAACCCUAUAGUAGAUGAGAGGAUCCAACAAUGGAGGAGUGGUGAAAGGAAGGAAAUGGAAGACUUGCUUGAUGUUUUCAUAACUCUCCAGGAUUCAGAUGGCAAGCCAUUGCUCACAGCUGAUGAGAUCAAGAAUCAAAUCGCUGUAAGACCAAAUCUUUCUCCUUCAAUUUUCACCAAAUCUUACUCCUUCAAUUUUCACCUGUAUAUGUCUAUUUUUCUUUCCAUAUGUAUUGUCACAGCAUAAACCCACUAUCUUAAUCCUUUCAAAUAGGGAUAGGAAAAAGCGGGAAAAUUAAAUCAUAAUCACAACUGAUUUCGAAUUCGAUGAAGAAACGGAAAAAUAACAAAAAAUAGUUAGUUGGCUAGACAGUGAUAGUCCUAUCCUCCCACACUUGCCCCGAGAGGGUAAAGCAGUUCUUUUGCAAUUUUGUUUGCAUAUAAAAAUUUGUCGAAGAAAACAAAAUAAAUCACUCAAGGCACUGCUCACAGCAUCAAAAAAAAAAAAUCUUUUAGAAUCAAGGAUACAACUAUUUUCUCUUAUUUUUGUUAAUUUAUGUUUUAUUUGGAAAUUAGACAUAAGGGACACGAUUUGCAAAAUAAACAGAAAAGAUUUAAUAUAAUAUGUGAAAGUUGAUUUUGAUACUAUCAAAUUGUCAUAAUUGGAGAAAAAAAUUGAGUGAGGUAACAUUUAAUUUAUCUUUUUACCUUUUUUUGAGAAAAAAAAAAUUUCUACAUAUUUUGACUUUCAACACAAAAUAAAAAGUUCAAUUUUCAUAAAAGCUCAUAUUGGAUCCCACUUCAAACAAUUUGAGCAAUAUUUCAUUAUAAAUUCAGUAGAUAUAUAUAUUUAAGAAACUAACAUAGAUACAUGGUUGCAGGAAAUUAUGAUAGCAACAGUGGAUAACCCAUCAAACGCAAUCGAAUGGGCAAUGGGGGAGAUGCUAAAUCAACCUGAAAUCCUGGCAAAGGCCACAGAGGAACUUGACAGGGUGGUUGGCAAAGAUAGGCUUGUGCAAGAAUCUGAUAUCCCCAACCUUAAUUACGUCAAAGCCUGUGCAAGAGAGGCCUUUAGACUCCAUCCCGUUGCACACUUCAAUGUCCCUCAUGUAGCUAUGGAAGACACUGUUAUUGGUGAUUACUUUAUUCCAAAGGGUAGCUGGGCCAUUCUUAGCCGCUACGGGCUUGGCAGGAACCCAAAGACAUGGCCUGAUCCACUCAAGUACGACCCAGAAAGACAUUUGAAUGAGGGAGAGGUGGUGCUAACUGAGCACGACUUAAGGUUCGUAACUUUCAGCACUGGAAGGCGAGGGUGCGUAGCAGCUUUGCUUGGAAGUGCCAUGAUUACGAUGUUGCUAGCCAGGAUGCUUCAGUGCUUCACAUGGACUCCACCAGCGAAUGUUACCGAGAUUGAUCUCACUGAGACCCUCGAUGAGCUUACUCCUGCUACACCCAUCUCUGCAUUUGCUAUGCCCCGUUUGGCUACUCAUCUCUACCCUACUUCACCUUGAAAGAGAGUGAUGAAUCUGAGUUCUUAGAACCUUUAUGAUUUGCAAAACAAUAAAAAUAAAAAUCAUUUGGUUAUAUGUAAUUAGGAGGUAACCUUACAGACUGCUUGUUAUUGAGAGUUUUAAACUCUCAAAAUAAUAUUUGUGUGGCCACUUCUUCAUCUUGUAUCUUUUGCAAUUGCUCCUUUUGCUAUAUAAAAUUGCCUUAUAUGAAGUCUUAUUUCCU
rnacentral:misc_RNA from 1 species